AAUCUGUCGCUAUGGGCGAAAGGCUGACGCAGGUAUGCCGCGUGAAGGAUGACGGUCCUAUGGUUUGUAAACUGCUUUUGUACAUGAAGAAAAAGAGUUACGUGCAGCUUAUUGACGGUACUAUAAGACUAAGGAUCGGCUAACACCGUCCCAGCAGCCGGGGUAAUACGGAGGAUUCAAGCUUUAUCCGGAAUCAUUGGGUUUAAAGGGUCCGUAGGCGGCAUUAUAAGUCAGUGGUUAAAGUUUUAGGCUUAACCAAAAAAUUGCCGUUGAUACUGGAGGGCUUAUAUAUUUAUGAAGUAACUAUAAUAUGUAGUGUAACGGUGAAAUGCUUAGAUAUUACAUAGAAUACCGAUUGCGAAGGCAGGUUACUAACAAACGAUUGACGCUGAUGGACGAAAGCGUGGGUAGCGAAC
rnacentral:rRNA from 1 species